CCUACGGGAGGCAGCAGUGGGGAAUAUUGGACAAUGGGCGAAAGCCUGAUCCAGCAAUGCCGCGUGAGUGAUGAAGGCCUUAGGGUUGUAAAGCUCUUUUACCAGGGAUGAUAAUGACAGUACCUGGAGAAUAAGCUCCGGCUAACUCCGUGCCAGCAGCCGCGGUAAUACGGAGGGAGCUAGCGUUGUUCGGAAUUACUGGGCGUAAAGCGUACGUAGGCGGUUAUUCAAGUCAGAGGUGAAAGCCUGGAGCUCAACUCCAGAACUGCCUUUGAAACUAGAUAGCUAGAAUCUUGGAGAGGUGAGUGGAAUUCCGAGUGUAGAGGUGAAAUUCGUAGAUAUUCGGAAGAACACCAGUGGCGAAGGCGACUCACUGGACAAGUAUUGACGCUGAGGUACGAAAGCGUGGGGAGCAAACAGGAUUAGAUACCCUGGUAGUCCACGCCGUAAACGAUGAUAACUAGCUGUUCGGGCUCUACGAGCUUGAGUGGCGCAGCUAACGCAUUAAGCUAUCCGCCUGGGGAGUACGGUCGCAAGAUUAAAACUCAAAGGAAUUGACGG
rnacentral:rRNA from 1 species